rnacentral:rRNA from 1 species
UACGAAGGGGGCUAGCGUUGCUCGGAAUGACUGGGUGUAAAGGGCGCGUGGGCGGUUUGUACAGUCAGAUGUGAAAUUCCUGGGCUUAACCUGGGGGCUGCAUUUGAUACGUGCAGACUUGAGUGAGGAAGAGGGUUGUGGAAUUCCCAGUGUAGAGGUGAAAUUCGUAGAUAUUGGGAAGAACACCGGUGGCGAAGGCGGCAACCUGGUCCUUGACUGACGCUGAGGCGCGAAAGCGUGGGGAGCAAACAGG